GCUCCGGUGGUGUAGCCCGGUAUAGAAAAUCGGAGAGCAUACUGGCCUUUCGAGCCAGGGGUCGCGGGUUCAAAUCCCGCCCGGAGCA
rnacentral:tRNA from 1 species